rnacentral:rRNA from 1 species
AAUAGAUACCCAGGUAGUCCACGCCGUAAACGAUGGAUGCUAGCUGUUAGGAGUAUCGACCCUCCUAGUAGCGUAGCUAACGCGUUAAGCAUCCCGCCUGUGGAGUACGGUCGCAAGACUAAAACAUAAAGGAAUUGACGGGGACCCGCACAAGCGGUGGAGCGUGUUGUUUAAUUCGAUGGUAAGCGAAGGACCUUACCCAGGCUUGACAUCCUGUUAAUUUCUCCGAAAGGAGAGAGUGCCUUCGGGCCGCAGUGACAGGUGAUGCAUGGCCGUCGUCAGCUCGUGUCGUGAGAUGUUUGGUUAAGUCCAUCAACGAGCGCAACCCCUAUGUUUAGUUGUAUUUUUCUAAACAGACUGCCCUGGUAACAGGGAGGAAGGAGGGGAUGAUGUCAGGUCAGUAUCUCCCUUACGUCUGGGGCUACAAACACGCUACAAUGGCCGGUACAAAGGGCUGCCAACCCGCGGAGGGGAGACAACUCCAUCAAAGCCGGUCUCAGUUCGGAUAGCAGGCGUAGAACUCGCCUGCUUGAG